AUACGGAGGGGGUUAGCGUUGUUCGGAAUUACUGGGCGUAAAGCGCGCGUAGGCGGAUUGGUAAGUUAGAGGUGAAAUCCCGGGGCUCAACCCCGGAACUGCCUUUGAUACUGCCAGUCUUGAGUUCGAGAGAGGUGAGUGGAAUUCCGAGUGUAGAGGUGAAAUUCGUAGAUAUUCGGAGGAACACCAGUGGCGAAGGCGGCUCACUGGCUCGAUACUGACGCUGAGGUGCGAAAGCGUGGGGAGCAAACAGGAUUAGAAACCCUAGUAGUCC
rnacentral:rRNA from 1 species